rnacentral:rRNA from 1 species
CCUACGGGAUGCAGCAGUAGGGAAUCUUCCACAAUGGGCGAAAGCCUGAUGGAGCAACGCCGCGUGGGUGAAGAAGGUCUUCGGAUUGUAACACCCUGUUGUUAGAGAAGAAAGGGCGGUAGAGUAACUGUUCACGUUUCGACGGUACCUAACCAGUAAGCCACGGCUAACUACGUGCCAGCAGCCGCGGUAAUACGUAGGUUGCAAGCGUUAUCCGGAUUUCUUGGGCGUAAAGGGAACGCAGGCGGUUUUUUAAGCCUGAUGUGAAAGCCUUCGGCUUAACCGGGGUAGUGCAUUGGAGACUGGGAGACUUGAGUGCAGGAGAGGAGCGUGGAACUCCAUGUGUAGCAGUGAAAUGCGUAGAUAUAUGGAAGAACACCAAUGGCGAAAGCAGCUCUCUGGUCUGUAACUGACGCUGAGGUUCGAAAGCGUGGGUAGCAAACAGGAUUAGAUACCCGAGUAGUC